rnacentral:rRNA from 1 species
AGCGUAGACGGUGUGGCAAGUCUGAUGUGAAAGGGCAUGGGCUCAACCUAUGGACUGCAUUGGAAACUGUCAUACUUGAGUGCCGGAGGGGUAAGCGGAAUUCCUAGUGUAGCGGUGAAAUGCGUAGAUAUUAGGAGGAACACCAGUGGCGAAGGCGGCUUACUGGACGGUAACUGACGUUGAGGCUCGAAAGUGUGGGUAGCAAACA